GACGAACGCUGGCGGCGUGCCUAAUACAUGCAAGUAGAACGCUGAAGGAGGAGCUUGCUUCUCUGGAUGAGUUGCGAACGGGUGAGUAACGCGUAGGUAACCUGCCUGGUAGCGGGGGAUAACUAUUGGAAACGAUAGCUAAUACCGCAUAAUAUUGACUAUUGCAUGAUAGUCAAUUAAAAGGUGCAAUUGCAUCACUACCAGAUGGACCUGCGUUGUAUUAGCUAGUUGGUGGGGUAACGGCUCACCAAGGCGACGAUACAUAGCCGACCUGAGAGGGUGAUCGGCCACACUGGGACUGAGACACGGCCCAGACUCCUACGGGAGGCAGCAGUAGGGAAUCUUCGGCAAUGGACGGAAGUCUGACCGAGCAACGCCGCGUGAGUGAAGAAGGUUUUCGGAUCGUAAAGCUCUGUUGUAAGAGAAGAACGAGUGUGAGAGUGGAAAGUUCACACUGUGACG
rnacentral:rRNA from 1 species